CGUAAUAGCUCACUGGUCGAGUCGGCCUGCGCGGAAGAUGUAACGGGGCUAAAUUAUGCACCGAAGCCGCGGCAGCGAUAUGUAAAUAUUGUUGGGUAGGGGAGCGUUCUGUAAGCCUGUGAAGGUGACCUGUGAGGGUUGCUGGAGGUAUCAGAAGUGCGAAUGCUGACAUAAGUAACGAUAAUGCGGGUGAAAAACCCGCACGCCGGAAGACCAAGGGUUCCUGUCCAACGUUAAUCGGGGCAGGGUGAGUCGACCCCUAAGGC
rnacentral:rRNA from 1 species